rnacentral:rRNA from 1 species
AAUACACCCGAUCCCAUCCCGAACUCGGCCGUGAAAUCCCCCAGCGCCAAUGGUACUGCGUCUUAAGACGUGGGAGAGUAGGUCGCCGCCAGGU